GCCUGCAUGAAGUCGGAAUUAGCUAGUAAUCGCGGAUCAGCAUGCGCGGUGAAUACGUUCCCGGGCCUUGUACACACCGCCCGUCACACCAUGGGAGUCGGUAACACCCGAAGCCAGUAGCCUAACCGCAAGGGAGGGCGCUGUCGAAGGUGGGAUUGAUGACUGGGGUGAAGUCGUAACAAGGUACC
rnacentral:rRNA from 1 species